rnacentral:lncRNA from 1 species
UUCAUGCUAACGAGACAUUGCAAAUGAUCUUUAAUUUGGUGCAACAUAACUCCCGACAAGCAUCGACGUCUGCCAUUGGCGCGAGCAAGAACCCUAAUCCUCCUUCGUCAGCCACUACCGCAAGCAAGAACCUUGAUCCUUCACCUACGGGUUGACGGUAAGUUUUGCCUAGUGCUUUUCUUAAUUAGCUCCAAAAUGACCUAUUUAACCUAGGAUAGCUUUAAAAUGACCUAUACUUAGCAUUUUUUCCUCCAAAAUGACUUAAUAUGCUUAGCUAGCUCAAAAAUGACCUAUUUAACCUAGGAUAGCUCUAAAAUGACCUAUACUUAGCAUUUUUUCCUCUAAAUGACUUAAUAUGCUUAGCUAGCUCUAAAAUGACUUAUGAAAUGACAUAUUUUAGCUCCGAAAUGACUUCAUAUGCUUAGUUAGCUCCAAAAUGACAUAAUAAACUUAUUAGUUCCAAAAUGACCUUACUUAGCAUUUUUUACACCAAAAUGACUUAGUAUGCUUAGUUAGCUCAAAAAUGACAUAAUAACCAUACUUAGCUCCAAAAUGACCUAUUUUACACAUAUAAGUUGCAUCAUAAUAAUCUUCACAUUUUAGUUGCAUCAUAAUAAUCUUCUUCUUCUAGUCUUUCUAACUUUCUUCUUUCCCAUUUUGUAGAUUUGCUUCAGAUCACAGAAGCUUGGGUUGAUGGAGUGCUUGUCUUUA